GGCAGUUCUCGGGUGAUGCACCCCAGAAUCGGGCUCCCUCCUCUCUGGUUCCGGACUGCAUCACCCGAGAACCGUC
rfam:Myotis lucifugus cont2.12372, whole genome shotgun sequence.